UACAGAGGGGGCAAGCGUUAUCCGGAUUCACUGGGUUUAAAGGGUGCGUAGGUGGGCUGGUAAGUCAGUGGUGAAAUCUCCGGGCUUAACUCGGAAACUGCCAUUGAUACUAUCAGUCUUGAAUACCGUGGAGGUCAGUAGAAUAUGUCAUGUAGCGGUGAAAUGCUUAGAUAUGACAUAGAAUACCAAUUGCGAAGGCAGCUGGCUACACGAAUAUUGACACUCAGGCACGAAAGCGUGGGGAUCAAACAGG
rnacentral:rRNA from 1 species